rnacentral:other from 1 species
UUCAUCCUGCUUAGUGCGUGAUAGAGUAUAUUUGGGCCUACAAUUCGUUAAAUGGAGCCCGCAUUCUUCAUUGGUGCGCAGACCUCCCAAUUAUUCGCCUGUCUUUGACCGCAAAUAAUUGGACGCUGGGAGCGGAAAAGAUGAGAGAGGGCACCACCCUGGAUAUCAGGGCUAAACUUUGCUCUACACGGCUCGGCGGGAGUUGU